GGCGGCGCCCAGGUGAAAUGUCGUUUGUCGCGGUCCUCUUCCAUGGCGUUUGAUAAUUCAAGUUCUCUGACGUGCUUAUUUCAUUGUUCAUAUUAUUGUGUCAAUCACUGAAAGAGGAUCAGCAUCCUGGUGAUCUCUUCCAGGAGGAAAAUGACUACACGGUCAAUAAAAACAGGGUGAAGAAAAGAUAACAAAUUCUAUUAAAGGGGUCAUCAAGCAAAAUGAGAACUAUCUGGUUAUCCUUCCACGGAAAAGGCAAACACCACCAACAUGGUCAACAAGUUUGUUAACCCAUUGAAUGUUACCGGGUAGCAGUAACCCUUGAAUUCCCUCUCCUUAGUUCCUUGAAAUGGGCCCACUCUUAUUUUGAGUUAUUGCUUGCUGUCGUAAACAAUCUUACAUGCAAUUUUAAAAUCUAAAGUCACCUCCAUUCUCGUUUAAGGUUAACCUCUGCCGCUAUUCCAUGGACUGAAUCCAUUGGUGGAAACUUACGACAAAUCAGUGACAACUGACUAACGGGCUGUCAUUCAGCAAUACUUUUCACAUGCGUGCCAUCCUUCCGUCGCCCCAAGGCACGGGGGAGUUGUGCCUGCUCCAGCUAUACGAGGCCAGGAUAAUUUGACUACCCAGCAACCGACGGUCUGGUGGGCCAACUCACCCAUCACUGACUCCAACUACCCCUGCUCUCAAAUGACCAAAGGACGACGAUUUUGUUCUAAACUACAGAUUUCUAAAUUUGCAUGACAGAAUUUCUGAGAAGUCAUGUGCUUUGAAAGAGAAAAGACAAAAACUACAGUCAACAAGGUCCCUUGUUUGGUAACCUGUUGGCUGCCACCAUAUCUCCCUUUUUACUUCCUUCUCGACUUGAGGGUAACUCCUUUGCUACUUAUCAUGGACUUCAUCCAUUGGUGAAAACGCAAGAUUGGUGAAAGCGCAAGGUGUCAAUGUGUUGUCCAAAGCUAAUGUUGAGGGUGCAAUUUUGGAAGACUACAAGGUCACAUUGACCUUAAACGAUGGUCAAAAGCAGAUUUAAACUGACCAUGUCGUCGCUGUUGUCGAUUGGGACGCAAAAUUCACGGAUUUGGCUGUCGUUUCUGGUUCGGAAAUAGAUUUCCAUUUUGGUGGUUAUCGAGUCAAUACCGAGCUUGAAGCACGAUCGAACGUCUGGUUGGCUGGAGAUGUUACGUCUUUUUGUGAUAUCAAAUUGGGUCGUCUUCGUACGGAACAUCAUCACUUUGCUGUUGUAUCAGGGCGAUUGCUGGAGAGAACAAUACUGGCAACGAAACAUGGAUGAACAACUGCAGUGCACUGUCACCAAGUUCAUUCUUCGUGACGUCGUAUUAUCAGUACGCAAUCGGUAUCGUGCUGUUGCCGUUUGUCGUAUCGUUGAAGGUUGGGUCGAUCACUGGUGUACUCGUGGCUCCUGGGUAUGGCGGAUACCAAAGCACCACGCCGCCGCCUUGCUACACAACGACAACAUUCGCACCAACCGGUUACUACACUGAGGACCACAAUUACUACACCA